CGGGUGAGUAGUGCUUGGGAAUCUAGCUUAUGGAGGGGGAUAACUACGGGAAACUGUAGCUAAUACCGCGUAGAAUCGGGAGAUGAAAGUGUGGGACCUUCGGGCCACAUGCCAUAGGAUGAGCCCAAGUGGGAUUAGGUAGUUGGUGAGGUAAAGGCUCACCAAGCCGACGAUCUCUAGCUGGUCUGAGAGGAUGACCAGCCACACUGGGACUGAGACACGGCCCAG
rnacentral:rRNA from 1 species